CAAGAGGCGCUUCCGUCCUUACAGUUCGUGCACGUGACGCAGGAAUAAGGCUGGCAGCCAAAACUGCCCGAUUGUGCCUAUCAAGUGUCCCUGUGUUGGGAGGGAAUGUCCUGAGGAGCUGGCUGGCCACUGACAUUUGGAAAAUGAAUGAAUUGUGCUUGCCAGGUGCUUGAGAACAACAUUUGGCAUGAAAUAGCUGGCAUGACAUGAGUUUGCAGGCAGUGUUUUAUUUCCUAUUCUUCUAGACCUUCCCAUUGUAUCAAGAGACUGAACAGGAACCCUUUUCAGAGGGCAUCAAAUAUUCCAAGGGGAUAGUUACAGAUAUGUUUGCAAUAUAUUAAUUUUAUUAAGAUAUUUAAUUAGAGUAGGAUUGCAUUUGGAAUAUUGUCCCAAAUAAUAACAGCAGUGGAGACCUGAAAUGGAUCUGGAAUGCAUGCUGUGGAGACACUGGGAAAAUCUGGAAAAAGUCAAGCAUACACAGAACAGCCGACAGGAGCUCCUGGCUGGGGCCAGAGAAAUCUCCCGGUGGAUCCCCUGCCUUCAGCUUCCCGGGUUCCCCCGGGUGCUGUGCAGCAAACAUCCAACUCUGAAACAGACUCUGCUCCCAUUUGAGGACUUGUUUGAUUUGAAUUCAGUUCUUCUGCGGACAUAGAAGGAACGUGAAGCUUAUCUUCUAGCUGAGGCCCUACGAGAGGACGCGCUUUCAAUACCAGAGCUGUUUGCAUCUUGCCAUGGACAGAAGAAGCCUGGACAACUACAUUAAUGAUAGCCUGGAAAACACAAACUGCAGGAAAAAACACAACAGAGACCCCACAAACAGCAUGGGGCAAGGAGGAGGGGGAAGGGAUGGGAAAGAAGGGGUUAAACAUGCCAAGGUCAUAGUAAUUUCUGUUGAGUAGAAUCACAGAAUGGUUUGGAUUGGAACGGAUGCUAAGCUCAUCCAGUUCCAAACCCCCUGCCAUGGGCAGGGACACCUUUCACUAGACCAGGUUGCUCAGAGCCCCAUCCAAUGUGGCCUUGAGCUCUCCCAGAGAUGGGGUAUCCAUAACUUCCCUGGGCAGCCUGUUCAAGUGCUUCAGCAGCCUCACAGUACAGAAUCACCUGCU